rnacentral:rRNA from 1 species
GGGCCCGCACAAGCGGUGGAGCAUGUGGUUUAAUUCGAUGAUACGCGAGGAACCUUACCAGGGCUUAAAUGUAAGUUGCAUUAGUUAGAGAUAGCUAUUUCUUCGGACUACUUACAAGGUGCUGCAUGGUUGUCGUCAGCUCGUGCCGUGAGGUGUCAGGUUAAGUCCUAUAACGAGCGCAACCCCUGUUGUUAGUUGCCAUCGAGUCAUGUCGGGAACUCUAACAAGACUGCCGGUGCAAACCGUGAGGAAGGUGGGGAUGACGUCAAAUCAUCACGGCCCUUACGUCCUGGGCUACACACGUGCUACAAUGGCUAAGACAAAGAGUCGCAAGCUUGCAAAAGUUAGCUAAUCUCAUAAACUUAGUCUAAGUUCAGAUUGUAGGCUGCAACUCGCCUACAUGAAGUUGGAAUC